rnacentral:rRNA from 1 species
UUGAACAAUUAUAGGCUUUCUUUAGUUAAAUAAUUAAAUUUAAUUUUUUUAGUGCAAAAGCAAAAAUUAAAUUUAGGGACAAGAAGACCCUAUGAAUUUUAAUUUAAUUUAUAAUUUGAAAUUUUAAAUUAAAUUUGAUUGGGGCGAUGGAAAAAGAAUGAGUAUCUUUUUUAGUUUUAAAAAUUGGUUCCGUUUUUAACGAUUAAAUGAGAAAAAUACUCUAGGGAUAACAGCGUAAUAAUUUUGGAUAGUUCUUAUAGAUAAAAUAGUUUGCGACCUCGAUGUUGGAUUAGGAUUCUUUCUUGGCGAAGAAGUUAAGAAAAAGAAGUUUGUUCAACUUUUAAAUUCCUACAU